AACGAACGCUGGCGGCAUGCCUAAUACAUGCAAGUCGAACGAGAUCUUCGGAUCUAGUGGCGCACGGGUGCGUAACGCGUGGGAAUCUGCCCUUGGGUUCGGAAUAACUUCUGGAAACGGAAGCUAAUACCGGAUGAUGACGUAAGUCCAAAGAUUUAUCGCCCAAGGAUGAGCCCGCGUAGGAUUAGCUAGUUGGUGGGGUAAAGGCCCACCAAGGCGACGAUCCUUAGCUGGUCUGAGAGGAUGAUCAGCCACACUGGGACUGAGACACGGCCCAGACUCCUACGGGAGGCAGCAGUAGGGAAUAUUGGACAAUGGGCGAAAGCCUGAUCCAGCAAUGCCGCGUGAGUGAUGAAGGCCUUAGGGUUGUAAAGCUCUUUUACCCGGGAUGAUAAUGACAGUACCGGGAGAAUAAGCUCCGGCUAACUCCG
rnacentral:rRNA from 1 species